GUCCACGCCCUAAACGAUGUCUACUAGUUGUCGGGUCUUAAUUGACUUGGUAACGCAGCUAACGCGUGAAGUAGACCGCCUGGGGAGUACGGUCGCAAGAUUAAAACUCAAAGGAAUUGACGGGGACCCGCACAAGCGGUGGAUGAUGUGGAUUAAUUCGAUGCAACGCGAAAACCUUAACCUACCCUUGACAUGGUCGGAACCCUUAAGAGAUUAGUGGGUGCUCGAAAGAGAACCGAUACACAGGUGCUGCAUGGCUGUCGU
rnacentral:rRNA from 1 species